GAGAGAAGCAAAAGAUCAGAGAAAUCACAUGAGUGGAUAAUGACCAGUGACUGUAAAAGGUUGGAAAGUGAGAUACGGAUAAGCUCCAGAUUGCCUGCAUUGCAAGUGAUUUAACAGUUCACCUGUUUCACCGUUGACUCAAGUAUUGGUGUUGGGAUCGUCUGUCAGAAGACUUCUUGCGUAGUAAAUGGAAUAAGAAGAGUAAGUCACGCAUGGGAGAUGUAAAAUCACUUUGUGCCCUGCAAGGUGCUCCAUCUGUCGGGAAGUGCACCUGGCAGAGGUGAGAGCUGAGUCACUGGAAGCUGCUAAAGGAAGAAAGUCAUUCUGCAGAAAGACCAGAGACACCCUUAAGAACUGAGAAUCUGACUAAUUUAAACAGAUGGCUAAUCCCAGUGC